UCGUUCGGUUCAGCCUCCGCUUCACUUUUUGAAAAACGCGUCGAUAUCGUUAUAAUUAUAGGGAGAAUUAAUACCGAAAUACAUCUUUUGGAAUUGGAUCCACCGGUGGAUAUCACGGAUAUUUUUUUUAUAUUUAACGAUAUAUAUAAUAACACGAAAGCUAAUACGAACACGUGUGAUAUAUCGUCUAGGGAAAUCGAUUUUAUUUUAUUUUGCUAAAAACUGCCUCUCGACACGCGCAAAAGAGAACCAAACCGAGUGCAUACUCGACGAAUUAAAAGAGGGGCGAAAUAUGAAUUGAAUUCGACGAUCGAUAAUAAUUUAAGUAAAAUUAUUAAUAAAUUCGGCUCUACCACGUCAAAUAUUCAACUUGGCGCGCGGAAAUGAUGAAAUUUCGAUGGUUGGAAAAGGGUGCAAUUUCCAAUUUUGCACAAUCUCUCUCGGAUCCCCCUCCCUUUCCAGUCCCAAAAAUUAAUUACUAUAUCAAAAGGGCGCGCACGAAAUAUAGAUAUCGUAUUGUAUUUUUUUUCUUUUUUUUUUUUUUUUUUUUUUUCAAUCCACGCUAAUCGAUCGCUAAUUCCGCUGUGUACCACGAGAACGAGUUAAAGCGGGAUUAUACCGAUCCUCCAACGUUUCGAUCCGAUUAUUUUUUUCUUUUUUUUUUUUUUCUUUCCCCUCUCCUCCAUAUCAUCGAUUAUUCGUUUCUGCAACUUCGAAAAAGUAAUUCGUGGAUUAAUAAACGCGGGAGCCAAUGUAAUAUGCAGCCAAGUUUCCCUCGAGUCCUUAGAUAGCGCGACGCGCGCAGAGGAAUGGUCGUUUUGCGAGAAGGAAACGCCUGCGAAAAAGGGGGAGAGGGGAGGAGAAACGCAGCGAAAAGAGUGCCCAGGGAUAUGAGCUCCGCGAUAUCUCCGCCAGAGCUCUUUGCUAACUCGCGGCAACCUUUACAUCGAGGGAAAAAGCUGGUACGAAAAAAAA